CAGACCAUCUGCCUUGCCUUGACCUUUGACAUGUAGGGCCUCCAGCUUCCGGUCUGCCUGUUUGGUUUCUGACCUCUCACUUGAUCCCAUCUCUGGUGUCCAUACUUGUCCUGAUUUCUGACUCCCUUCCGGGUGUCCAGUCUGCAGCUUUAUCCUAACUGUAGUGCGGUCCUCGCCGAGCUCCUGGUUUCCUUGUUACUUCCUGCGAUGAGACUGAAGACUUGGGGCACUUAGGGAGAAAAGCCCCAGUUCUCCCCAGGUGGAUAAUCACUGGAGUGGCUGUGAUUGGAAGCUACCUCCUACCUGUUUUUGACUGGCUCUGAUGAAAGAUUGGAAGAAAUGAGCCUCCAAAUGAACAGAGAAAGGUGAGCCUAUUAAUUUUCUGCAUAUCCUGGCUCAAGAAGAUGAUAUUGACAAUGACAAUGAGGAUGGUGAAAGUGAUGAGGAUAAUGGGGAUAAUGGUGGUGUGCGGCAGGUGGAGCUAGUCCUUGGCAAACUUGUGAAAGAGAUGGUUUAUCCUUGGCACUUCCCACCAUUGUUUCUCUAUGUGAUGGAAGCAACAUGAAAUUGUGAGCUGAUCACUGAGGGUAAAAGUCGGGAGUCUAGCUACUAGUCCUUGUCCUGCAUCCAAUGAACUAGCUACAUGAUCUUAGGUACCUGAUGGCCUCAGAGAGCUCUUGGAGUCUAGCCACACCAUUUUCUGAUCAAAUUAUCAUCACCAAAGGCUCCUGGUUCAGUAUAAUAUUUAGUAGUGUGACUUUGGGUAAAUUACCUAACUUCUUUGGGCCUCAGUUUACUCAUCUAUAAAAUUAGAGGGAUUAGAUUAGAUGGUGUUUAGGGUCUCUCUCAGCUCUUGAACCAUGAUGAUCAGUGAUCUCAUGAAUAUAGUCUUCUCAUCAUGACUGCCCCAACCCCAUUUCAUUCCUUGUAGAGCUAUAGUCCUAUCUACCAAUCCUAGAUGACCUCCAUCAUGAAGCAGAAAUUCAACAGGGAAUCUUAGAAUAGUUGAAUGUUCCAUCUGAAAGGUAGCUCAGACUCUUUCAUUUCACAAAGGAAGAUAUCUUGAUCCAUGUAAGGGAAAUAACUUGCCCAAGGUCAUUCAAUGAGUGGCAGAGCUCUUACAGAACCCAGGUCUCCAUGUUUAGCAUUUCUUCCAAAAUAAACUCUGUUCCUAAGUGGCCCUCCACCAACAAAGCCCAGCUGCCUACCUGAAAUCCUCCUCUAU